AUUCCUUAGUCUAUUGUAUUGUUAAUAAACUUACAAAAGCCUAUUAUUUUUCGUCGUUGUUAAAAAAAGUUUUGCGGAUGGAAGUCAAACGAAACAGUGUCAUUUCUUUGUAUUUGGCUGGAAAAUCGCAGUCAGUCAUCGUUAAUGAGCUAGGAGACAUUUACAUUUGAACAAAAUGUUUGUGUGACAUCCAACAACAGCAAUAUCAUCAGAAAUGGUUCGAAAGGUAAAGGCUAGAAUUGAACGAAAUCCACGACAAAGUGCAGUUAAAUUGGCGAAAAGUCUUAAUGUAUCUGCCCGGAGCAUAGGACGCAUAUUGAAAAAUAAACUUCAACUGAAGCCCUACAAAUUACAAAAAGUGCAAGACCUAACACUUGCACAAAAGGCAAC
rnacentral:misc_RNA from 1 species